GUGCAAGCGUUAUCCGGAUUUACUGGGUUUAAAGGGUUUGUCGGCGGUCUUUUAAGUCAGCGGUGAAAUCUCCGGGCUCAACCCGGAAACUGCCAUUGAUACUAUUGGUCUUGAAUGUUGUUGAGGUGGGCGGAACGGGUCAUGUAGCGGUGAAAUGCAUAGAUAUGACCCGGAACACCGAUUGCGAAGGCAGCCCACUAAGCAAGGAUUGACGCUGAGGCACGAAAGCGUGGGGAGCAAACAGG
rnacentral:rRNA from 1 species